UACGUAGGCAGCAAGCGUUGUUCGGAGUUACUGGGCGUAAAGGGUGCGUAGGUGGUUGUUUAAGUCUGCUGUGAAAGCCCCGGGCUCAACCUGGGAAUGGCAGUGGAUACUGGACAGCUAGAGUGCGGUAGAGGGUAGUGGAAUUCCCGGUGUAGCAGUGAAAUGCGUAGAGAUCGGGAGGAACACCAGUGGCGAAGGCGGCUACCUGGACCAGCACUGACACUGAAGCACGAAAGCGUGGGGAGCAAACAGG
rnacentral:rRNA from 1 species